GGCGGCAGCCGGGCCGCGAUCUUUGGUUCCGGGGACCGCCUCGCCCGGGCCGCGGCUCAAUUUUUGGGGUGGAUUCGAGCAGAUUUGGGAGCGCUCACGUUCGCCAGUGAAUGAGGUAUUGGAUAUGGGAAUACUGCAACAAAAGAGGCUCCUGUAUAACCAAGCCAUGAAAAAACAUGGGGAAGGACAGAGCAGGUUUGACUGCCAGAAGUGAAGAACUGCUUUGCAGAGCACAGUGGAUGCCUUGAAGCUGAGGGGUGAGAGGUAAACAAGAGAGCACACUGUCAGAAAUCAGCAGGGCUGAGUGAAACAGCUCCAGGAAUCUGCUCAUUGCUUUGAAGCAGUCAUUUUUGUUUGGGGGCAACUCCGGGAGACAGAGUGUGUGGUCAAGACAAGUCCAGCAAAUAUCUGGAAAGCCAAAAGCCUGAGAGGAGUUGAUGUUCCCUUUACACCUGGCUUAAAAAGUGACCGAGGACUUUUCUGUGGAAGUGUCAAGAGGAGCUGGGAGGCAUCCUGACACCUCCUGAAUCUGGUUUUUGUUCUGACAAUAGAGGCAUUGUCCAAAACAAAGACACCUGGUGGGAGUGAGACAA